AAACACUCUACACGUUUGAUUGAAAUUUUCAGGAAAAAAGGAGGAAACCAAGGAAGAAUGCUUGAUGCAAAUCUGCGUCAAGUUGAUUUAAAUUCAUCUGAUGUAACUUGUGUGCGCACCGCAGUACUUCAUGGCCUUCCAAUCCUCCUGGGGGAUGAUUCUGUGGAAUUUUUCAGGACAUGCUUUAUCACUGAUACUUGCAACUGAGACAUUUGAGAUUGCAGCUCCUUGGUGAUUCCAGCAGACCUCUUCAGGAAAACACUCUGAGGCUGCUGAGGGCCGCUGGAAGAAACUGGACCUGGCAGAUGUGCAGAGCAGCCCACCAACCAUGGUUAAGAAGGAUGAUGGAGAAAGAUGGAUGAAUCAACAAUCUCCAGCAACACUGAGGACAAAAGUGUUUGCUCCCACAUCGAACAGCCAUCAACAACAAGAGUUCCUGUUACCACACACCAUGGAAACCAACGAGUAAAAGAUGACGCCCAGUACCACACUGCACAGAUUGCAGAGAACAUCAGUUGUGAGCAGAAAAAUCUCCAAACCUGUGUCAGUGUGCUCAGGGUCAUAUCUGUCCAAGCAUCUCAGUGCCAGGGUGAUGCAAAAAAGGUCUGACAACUUUUCUCGAAACACUCAGUGUACAUGUGUAGCACUGCAGUUUUUGGCCUACCAGAGCGAAGGAACUGAUUUUACAACACAGGACCUUGAUGGAGUUCUGGAGGAGGGGGAUGCAUUGUAUACAUUCAUUAAAAUGCAGCUCAUUCAUGCAAAUAAAUUUUCAACAUGACCACCUCACCAUGGACGAAGUGCCAGAGCGUGUCACAACAUGUAAUCAGACAUACAGUGUUGUGAAAUCCGAAGCAAUGUUGGGAUGCCUCAGAUCCAGUGAGUUCUCUGAGCAAUCCUGGUUUAAGACUCUACCUGAAAGACUGACAGAGUGUCUAAUAACAGGUGUCAUGCAUGCACUCCUUACUGUAAGUCCAGAGUGUAUUGCUAUCUUCAGAAACACCUCUGGACAAUAUGGAUUUUUUGAUUCUCAUUCCAGGUCUGCUGCAGGUAUACCUGUCCCUAAUGGAAAGGCAGUUCUGUUAACUUUUACCAGUUUAACAGACAUGAUUAAUAGACUAUUGAUGGUGAUGCUGCCUCAUUAAUUAAGGCCUGUGCCAUUUCAAACAGAGCAGUCUACUAGCAAAGAAUGUAGUGCAGUACAGACCAAUGUAAAAGUCCAAAAGCCCAAAACUACUGGUCAGAUAGGAGCCCAAAUGCUUUUAAACCUAAAUAAGGUACGACGUAGAAAAGAAGCCCGUAAAAAUGUGACUAAAAGCAUGCCUUGAAGUCAAAAAUUUUUAAAAAAAGGCAAUAUGCAAAGAAACAGUAUGAUUCUUGUUUGCAGUAGACAAAACUAAAUUCAAGCUGUGAACAAAAAGUACAAAGAAAAUAUAUGCGCAGUAAGUACAGGACAGAUGAUGUGUUUUAGAAAAAAAUAAGUCACAGAUGGUCAAAAGAUACCAUACACAAGAUCAGCACCAGAACACAAAGAGGGAGUAUAUGGUGAUGAAAUAAUAGAUAUUUCCUUCCUUAAUCAAAUAAAACAGUACGUGGUCACGAGGUAUAGAACAGACAUGAAGUUCCAAACUAAAAUCAAACCGUACAUAGUUAGGAGGUAUAGAACAGACUGAGUACCAGUCUAAAAUGGAAAGCACAUAUGUUCAGAAGGUACACCCAGGACCCAGACUUUAGAGCACAUCACAUACUCCGCUGUACUAUACAUAAAAGCAAAUCACAUGUCAACACAAGUUGACAUGUGCAUUUAAAAUCAGGCAAAAAUACCAAGAGUUAAUUUGUGUUAGCCGUUCAGCAGGUCAGCUUGAUAAUGUAAACAAGCCUGUGGUCAACAACGUGAUGCAGGCUGCCAUUGGUGUCAUUGGUGACAAUCCUAGUGCUGGUCAGAAACACCGCAAGAGGCUGCACGGUGAGCAGGACAAUCUCGUUUAUGUUGAGCGCUUUGAAGCCAUUAAGAUAAUGAACCGCUGGCCAGUCAUUGUCUGUGGAGACUUUAAUGAGGAUCUACUGAUAAGUACUGGAAAGAAACCGAUACUGGCUAGCUAUUUAAAACCAAAGGUUAUGUACAAGUGAUAUCAGCUGCCACUACAGACAACUGCACACUCCUUGAUCAUGUUUACAUAUCACUAUCCUGUCUGUGCUAAAUCAGGAGUGUUGCAAACGUACAUCA